UGCGUCUGUGGUAACACAUUAUAAUACACUGGUGGUUUAAAAACAAGAAGACAGGUGCCAAAAUAAAUCCUUGUUUGCAACCCAGAACUCAUUGUUGAGUAUGAGAUUUUGGUACAUGUAAGAAGGAAUAUU